CACCUGGUUGAUCCUGCCAGUAGUCAUAUGCUUGUCUCAAAGAUUAAGCCAUGCAUGUCUAAGUAUAAGCUUUAAACGGCGAAACUGCGAAUGGCUCAUUAAAACAGUUAUAGUUUAUUUGGUGAUCGAUUACUAUUUGGAUAACCGUAGUAAUUCUAGAGCUAAUACA
rnacentral:ncRNA from 1 species